UACGUAGGGACCAAGCGUUGUUCGGAUUUACUGGGCGUAAAGGGCGCGUAGGCGGCUUAACAAGUCACUUGUGAAAUCUCUGGGCUUAACUCGGAACGGUCAAGUGAUACUGCAGUGCUAGAGUGCGGAAGGGGCAAUCGGAAUUCUUGGUGUAGCGGUGAAAUGCGUAGAUAUCCGGAGGAAUACCAAAGGCGAAGGCGCUCUUCUGGGAAGUUCCUGACGCUCAGGUGCGAAAGCUAGGGGAGCGAACGGG
rnacentral:rRNA from 1 species